CGUACAUUUCACUUGAUACAUUCAACAUUAUACACCGUGUUGUCUCUUGAUUUUAUAAUAGUUGCAGGUUUGACAUCCUAAUAGCAAUUCCUAUGUGGUGCAGCAUAAACAAUUCAGGUAGCCAAGUCAAGGUUUCGGAAGGGAGGGGGGAUAGGGUACAGAAAUUAGAGCGAGAAUGGGAGGGAAUUUUGAGCGACAGGUGGUGCGGUUUUCUAG